CCCCGCAAAACUUAAAAACGUUGGCGCCUUGGCUCCCAAGUCACUGUUGACAGUCAUAACUUCGAGGUCGUCAAAAAUUUCGUCUCUAGGGUCUUGUGUUAACACCAAUAAUAAUGUCAGCUUUGAAAUCCAACCUAGAAUAACUCUUCCCAACAUGUGCUACUUUUGAUUAAAUAUUUAAUUGAAAAGUCCUCUCUCGGCGAACGAAAACCAAACUCUCCAAGUUGCUCAUCAUACCCGUCCUACUAAAUGUGUGUCUGAUGUCUACACCUGAUAAGUCGGCAUAAGAAGUCUUUUGCGAACGAUUUAUGGUCUUUUGCGCAUUGACAACGAAUACUUGAAACGAUGGAACGAUGAGCUGUACGAGCUAUAUGAUGAUAUUGACAUAGUUCAGCGAAUAAAGAAACAGCGGCUACGCCGGCUAGGUCAUCUCCUCCAAAUGGUUGAAAGCACUCCAGCUUCGAAAGUAUACGAUGCAGCACCCGCUGGUGGAAGCACUCCGUUGCAACGAUCAGGUGGAGAGUGACCUGGCCUCACUUGGUAUUUCCGACUGGCGACAAACAGAGCAAGAAAAGGGAUGAAUGGUGCGCUAUAAUUAAUUUGGCUAUAAUCGCAUAAGCGGUGCCAACGACAAUAAUGAAGAAGAAGAAUAAGCAAUAUAUUAUUUUUUAAACGGCGGUGCCAAAGGUUUUUGAAUUACGAUCAAUACAAACCAUUGUAGUAUAUGCGAGCAUUCAAGCAAUGGAUGCAUAUUACCGAUAUCAUAGCAUGGCCAUUUGAUUCAACCACCUACACGCGCGCACGGCGUAUCUUAUAGCUGCAUCUCCCUGUUACAUUAUAAACCUAACUUUAUCGUGAAAAUAAUAAUUAAAUAAAAAAUUAAUUACUUAAAGUGUUUGUGCACCCAAGUGAAGAUAAACAUAUUUUUUUUUUAUUUAUCUCGGCUAAUUGGCACCAGACUCAAGGCAAGUUAACUACCGAGGAAUUUUUGGUAAAUAAACAUAUUUAGUUAAAGUCAAAAAGAAAAGUUAACUGAGUGCGUACAUCGGAAAACGUCUACGAAAUAUAGACACAACAUUUGCAAGUUUCAGUUCGUCCUCUGAAGACACCGAAAAUAAAUAUCAUGAGAAGUGUUGCAACUGUGAGAAUACUCUCGACUGGUGUCACAAUUUAAAGAGUAUGGAAAUUUAACCCAAAAAUGGAGAAAAUUCAACGAAAUAUGUUCUUCAACGCAAAUGGUAGUGGAAAAUGCAUUUGGACUGUUGAAAGAACGUUUCCGAAGACUGCUUAGUUUAACAAAAACAAACACAUUUGAAGGUGACUACCAAAAGAAUGUGUGUUGUAAAUAACAUUUGCAUUACUUUUGACGAUUUUCGCGAUGUCAAUGAAGCAAACGAUAAGGACAAACGAACUUUCUUUGUUCUAAAAGAGCAAAUGGAGGAGUCAAGCUUGCCGUGCGAGCGAAGUUUUCAAAUAAUAAAAAAGCCGUUGACAAAUAAGUCUGAUUAGAAAUCGUGGUUGUUUCCGAAGUAGCAGCUAUAACUUCGUCCAAAACUGUUAUUGUAAUGGUCAGACAUUUCCAUAAAACUUGAAAUCAAAAACCUUUUUAAUUAUUAAAAAAAAAAAAUUAUAUUAAAAAUACAGUAUUUUUAUAUGAUGAUAUGAGGAGCAGCUAUCCUUUGAAUAUAUUUGGUUUCAAAGCGCUAAAUAAAUCUCUAAACUAAAUAACUAAGAUCGGUUGUUGCGUUGUUUUUCUCGACUGUUGUUUUAAAAAGCAAUACGGCAGUUUUAAGCAAAGAAACUACAGCAUUGCGAAUGCUGUUGCUGCAAAGUCAAUUAAAAAGAUUAUUCAAAUCUUCAUACGUGCAAUAUUACAUGUAUUGUACAUUUGCAUUAUGUAGCUACUUAGGUAUGUAACAAUAUACACAUUAAUUGUAUGUAACAGUUUAGUUUAAUAGUCAUACAAAACUCGUGCGAUAUAUCAAAUGUUUAAUAGCUAGUCGUGACGGUACUAACAUAUUACCGUUUUUUAGUUUUUAUCAGCCGAAAGCAAGAGCGAUAGCAAAACGAUCCUGCUCUACUGCUUAAUUUGGUCUCACUGCUCUAGGGUUCACAGCAAAGCGACAGUCGCAGUCAUUGUUUUUACAUGAAAAGCGUACCAAAAUGUUGAAGUCUGCCAAAUAUUGUUUUAUGGCAGAUUUUAAGAAUGCAGGGUUGCAUUGUAAUAAUGCGGUUGCGUUUUGGAACUCAGUUUACUUUAGUGCCGCUAUGCACAUUUUGACAAUCAAAGAAGAAACAAAACUAAAUACUUGCAAGUGUUAAUUAUGGAAGCAAAUGAAUAGCAGAAAAUUGCUGUUGCUGUUCAAAUGUUAGUUGUAGUACUUAGCUUAGAAGGUUUUACAUUUUAAAGGGGAAUGUGGGGAAAUGUUGUGUUUCUUUUUACUUAUCGUCUUUGUUUUACAGGUUGGAUUUGGUGGUUAAGGUAAAAAUCGUAUUCGAGCUAAAAAGCAAGUGUAACUAAAAUCCGUAUACAUCUUCUUCGUAAAGUAUUAGUAAAGUAACAGUUUUUUAUAUAAUUUUACACGAAAUGAAUGGGGAUAACGUUGAUGAAACACGUGACUCGUCACUUCUCCAUUUUAAAUACCAGCACACAAAUCAGCAAAUAUGAGGUAUUCGAGGUAUAAAUAGUGAAGAAGAAAAUUUUCAUCAUGCGGUUUCUCUCAUCGUCCGGAGUCGAAGUGCAAGAUAUAACUCUGCUUCCCCCGACAUCUACGGCUUAUUCGACGCUGACACAUAAUCUCAUCGAGGGUUAACAAAAUCGAAAGAUGCCAAGUUGCCUGAGUUGCUGGACGGUGAGCAAAUUGGGGAUCACACCUAAUCGCAAUUCCUUCGUCAUCUAUGCAACUUAUGCCCUGACGUGCCACAUAACAUGCUAAAAACAAGGUGGUAGUCUCACCUACGUGCACAAACACGUGCCAGUCUCGCUGUGCAGCUAAACGCAUCUUUGGAAGACCUUGGCCGCCUUAUCGACAAAAUAUGUAAGUGAGAUGAUGCCAGGUGGAACACACUCCAUUGCCGCUAUCUCUCAGGCUCAUUUGGGUUAAUAGUGGCGUUGAAUGGCUGUCAUACAAAAUCGCGCCACAUAUUCUUUAUAGAUCGUACUUCUGUAAUACAAUUUCUUGUGGACACAGAUGCUGAUAUUUCGGUACUUCCAUGCUCUCAAAUUAAGUCAAUUUUAACUUCGGUUGGCAGCUGUAUUCAGCGUCAGCGUAAAUCAUUGAAACAUAGGGUUAUUCCGUGCUCACGAUCAACUUCGGUUUGCGCCGCGAUUUUACUUGGCGAUUUAUUAUCGUCGAUGUCUCUAAGCUCAUUAUCGGGGCGGACUUUAUUAGCCACUUUGGUUUAGUAAUGGAUUUAAAAUACAGUAGAAUCAGUGACGAAAGUAGGUACUACUUGCACCGUCCAAAUGGAGCAAACUCCUCCAACUGUUUCAAUAAACGGUACUUGUGGCGAAUCACCUUAUAUGUAAUUAGUGAAACAAUUUUCUUCCACCACUAAGCCUGUUGCAGCAUUCCAAUUAAUGAAGAAUGCCACCGUGUAUCACAUCAAAACUAAUAACGGCCCGUUGAUUUCAAGUAAAGCGCGACAACUUGUGCCUCAUAAACUUAAAAUAGAUAAAGAGGAAUUCGCGGAAAUGGUAAAAGCGGGCAUCGCUCGUACAUCACAUAGUGGUAUAGUCUUCACCACAACAUUUAGCACUAAAAGGUCUGGAGAAUAACGACCGUGCGAUGACUAUCAUCGUCUCAACGAUAGAAAUUUCCUUAUCGAUAUAUAGAUCUAGUAGGAGCGUUCAACCAAAUCCCGGUUACGAGCGAAGAGAUUUAAAAACCGCUAUAAUCACGCCAUCCGAGUUAUUCGAGUUUCCAUUCAGGUCCUUGGGCUAGAGAAACGAAGGCCAAAUAUUUCAACGUUUUAUUGACAAAGUUACUCGCGACCUGCCUUUUGUUUUUCCGUACAUCGAAGACCUUCUUAUUGCUACACAUAUCGAUCGCUAGUAUCUUGAGCAUCUUUAAACGCUUUUUCAAUGACCUCAGGAUUUUGGCUUGGUAAUCAAUACGGCUAAAUCAUGUUUUGGCCACCCAAUAACGUGUAAUGGAAUCAAGCCACUAUCUAAAAAGGUCAGAGCCAUAAGAGAGUUGUCACUACCAACAAUAGUAAAAAACUUCGUGGAUUUCUCGGAAUUAUAUCGAAAAUUCACAAGGAACGGCGGGGUAUUACUAGCUCCAUUCAACGAAGUCAUUUCUGGUACCAAGAUCAAGAGUACACAACAAAUACGCUAGACAAAUGAACUUCGAAACGCUUUCGAUCAGUUAAAAGAAGCUUUAUCGAAUUGCGAAGAAUUACGAAUAGCUCACACAGACGUUGGCGCAGAAUUAGCCAUAUUUACAAACGCAUCCAAUUUUGCAAUCGGUGCUGUACUGCUAAGUAGGUUUUGGCAACCUCUUGCGUUAUCAGUCGAAGGCUUUCAGUAUCCAUCAGUAAACUCUUCACGUAUGAUCGCGAGCUCCAUGCGAUAUACGAGGCUGUUAAAUACUUCCGAUAUAUGUUUAAGCGUCGGCAUAUAACUAUUUAAAAUGACCACAAGGCGUUGCAGCAAGUUUGUGAGCAGCGAGAAGAGCGUGCUUCUCCUAGGCAGUGGAUAAGCCAGUUCACAAUAGACAUUAAACACGUACGUGGGGAAACUAACAUCGUAGCAGACACGUUCUCACGCGUCGAUACCAUUUCCAUUCCUUACCGUCGCGCCGAGAAGAGCAAUAUUUGGUUCACUGCACUCUCUAUAUCAUUCGGAAAUACGAUGCUUACAAAAAUUGGUGACGAACAGAUAUAUAUGGCCCCAGAUCCAUAAAGAUUUUCGUAUUUGGGCGCGAGUUUGCAUCGAGUGUCAAAGAAAUAAAGUACAGCGUCAUGUCGUUAUUCCUAUUGCCAAUGCAGCGUUUCGAGCACAUUCAUUUGGACCUAAUAUCAUUACCUUCAGUGAGAGUAUACCGUCAAUGUCUUACCAUAAGAGAUCGUUGCACGCGUUUUCCUGAAGAAAUACCACUAGGAAAUGGCAAUAUGGAAAUAAUCAAGCGUGCCACUCCAAAUAACUUUCGAUCGUCGUGGACAACUUAAAUCAGCUCUGCUUCGCAAACUUGCUGAUUUAUUUGGAAUUCCUCGUGUAAAGACUAAACCCUGUCAUCCCCAAGCCAACGGACUUGUAGAAAGAUUGCAUCGACAAUUAAAAUCAGCCUAUGUCACAAAGAAGCUUGGUAUGACGCGCUUCCAAUAGUUCUCAUGAGUUUACGAGCAUCGUAAAAAAAUGACAUUUCAACGACACCGGCUGGUGUCUCAAGUGCGUCAAGGACAAACAGAGCCAUCUUUUAGUGCCUCACACCAAGGACCAUAUCGCGUCUUAUCGUGACACGUUACACCUUUCUAUAUCGAAAUACAAGGACAACGUACUCCCGUCUCAGUAGACCGUCUCAAACCUGUCUUCGAAGCAUCGACCGAAAAACAAAUCACCACAACAACUAAUAAUAGGAAAACAACAAGGCGUGUUCUUUUGGCAGACGAUUCGUAACCUAUUUAGACGAUGAAAAUUUAUGAUUAUAUAAACUAAGUUAAGCCUAUCAUUGUUACAUUUUUUUUAUUUGAUUUUAAAACUAAAGAAAACACAACAAGGGGAGCUGAGUGGCAUACUUGCUACUCUACUGAACCAAUGGCAGCUCUUUCUCGGACUGGAAAUUAACUUUAAGCCUCUCAGUGGAAAAAGAGUAGUAUUGUUGUAAUGCCUUUAGUAGUUUGAUAUUUCCUUCACAAAACGGAACCUUGAUAAUUCUGUUUUCGCUACAUAUAUAUAUAUAUUCAUUUUCAAGUGAUAAUAUUCUUAUUAUCGGGGUGUGAUGGUGUAUAGGGUGUAUAGGGUGUAGUAAAGCUUCUGGUUAUGCUGUUACAUUUGCGAAGCUGUACUCUUGCGUCAACAUUGCGCUCCCUGGAAGAGGAGCAAUCCUUGUGUAACCAACCCGUGUAGAGGCUUGGGUCACGGCUAACGAGAGAGGAAGUUUCAGUGAAGCCACUCCAACUUAUUCGGUUUAAGCGCACGCUGAAAUCUAAUUGCAGCGUCUGUUCAUUAGAGGUGCGGCUGCGAGCGGGCAUCGGUUUUGAAGCAAGCGGAUCGCUAUAUAAAUAUGUACAAAGUUUAAACCUACUCGCUUAGCGAGGCUAUGCGCUAAGAUAAUAACGCCUCGGAUGAGGCCCCUUUCUGUUGACGAUCACCGCAAAAGAACAAAGGGACACGAUUUGAGGGCAUUCACCUGCAAUGUCCAGACGUGCUUGGCUAAUUUAAUGCCACAAAGACACCUUAUUUGGUACGACUGUUGGAAAAGUCAGUCAAGGUCUUCCCAUUUGAGGUGCGUACGGUCUUAUAAAUUGCCAUGAGAAGCCGUUGAUUGCGUAUUUACUGAUGACAUCCAUUGAGACUUCGCUACAAACGCUUUAAUUGAUUUGCAACGAGCAAAUGCUGCUUUAAAAGCUACUGCGCCUGGGUCAGAGGAAAGUUUGAGAUGUAACAACUAUGUGACGAAGCACACAAAGUCGCAGACGUAUGGCUUGAAACAGGAUGUUCGUUGAAGCGUUGAUGUUUUGACGAGAAAUAUGUAAUUGGCGCUUUGCAACCGCUGAAGCGAUUUUCCGCCGAGCCCCUCCUCCAAUUUGAGAAUUUGCGUUUCGAUUUUUUUCUAACUAAUGGAGGUACCUCCAGUUGAUACUAAGCUGCUUCCGAACGACUGACGGUUUUUUUUAUGAAGAGCUUUAUUUCAUGUCAGAAAUACACUUUGAGGGGUUGACGAGAAAUGGUCCAGCAAAAUCAACGUCAGUAGUUUGGAAGGGUAGUGAAUAAGAUUCACGUUCAAGGGGUAACGCAGCCAUCGUUAGGAACUUAGUUUUCUGAAUGAAUAGUGUGCAAGUUUUGCAAUGAAAUGUACAGGUUCUUAGGCGCGGGAUUUAAUACUCUUGUUGAUCAUUAGUUGCCGUUCCCCGUGAAGAAGUGUGCAGUGUAGGAAGGUCAGCGAUAUUCAUUAUAGAUGAGCGCGGUGUGAGUGAGCCUACCAUUCGCUCGUAAUACACCUAAUUUAUCUAAAAAAAGGUUCAAAGUCAACAACGAGUCAUUUUGGUCGAUAUGUUCUGCAGCGGAGAUUGCUGAGCUGUAGUACUUUUGCUGAUGACAAGCAUAUUUGCCAGGUUCAUUUCUUCACAAGUUAAAGUUAACGAAGAGGGGGUAGGAAUCCGUCUUGCCAUAUUUUUAAAACGGAGAGUGAAGGCUCUUAAGUAGGAGGAUAACUAAUCUAAGACAUCAAUUUUGUCUGUUUUUUUUUUUUGCUGAUCUGGAGGAGCAGAGUAUGCUGGGGCAAUUUUUCUCCAGAAUUCCGUACACUUGACUAACCAGUCAGGGUCCAGUCUACCAAAGAGAGCAGUUUACGAGGAGUUGGGGUUCGAUACCACGCAUACCUAGGAUGAUUGGGUUACUGGAUGUGGCCACUAGUCGCAGUUCUUAUAUUCUAAAAGAUUUGUGAUAUCCUUUUAGAGACAUAUGUCUUUCACGUUCAUGAGGUUUUUUCUAGCCAGGCCAGCACAAUGGAACAAUCGAGUUGAGACUGAACUUGAUUUAUAUAGCAAGGUCGCAAUAACAAAUUAUGAAUAUUUAAGUUGCCAUAAAAAGUCUGAUGAAGAGAUGUGGAGAUCAUUGAAACAGCUGUCACUUCUACCAUUUUUCUUUUUUGCAUAACAAAAAUAUUCAAUUCAUACAAAA